rnacentral:lncRNA from 1 species
UUUGUUGUAGAUUGUUUUUUUAAUUUUCUUUUUGGUUUUUUGGUUGUAUAAGGGUAUCUUUAUAUUAAAUAAUAAAGAAUUAUAUUUCUAUUGUUAUAUUAUUUAACCAAAUUAUGUUAUAUUAAAAAAUAUAGCAUAGUUAUUCUUUGGCUACACUUAGGGUGAGAAUAAGUUAAGGCGAAUUAUGCAUAUUUUGCUUUUUUAAAUUGUAAAUUCCAUGUAUGGAC